rnacentral:rRNA from 1 species
AACGCUAGCUACAGGCUUAACACAUGCAAGUCGAGGGGCAGCAUGGUCUUAGCUUGCUAAGGCCGAUGGCGACCGACGCACGGGUGAGUAACACGUAUCCAACCUGCCGUCUACUCUUGGACAGCCUUCUGAAAGGAAGAUUAAUACAAGAUGGCAUCAUGAGUCCGCAUGUUCACAUGAUUAAAGGUAUUCCGGUAGACGAUGGGGAUGCGUUCCAUUAGAUAGUAGGCGGGGUAACGGCCCACCUAGUCUUCGAUGGAUAGGGGUUCUGAGAGGAAGGUCCCCCACAUUGGAACUGAGACACGGUCCAAACUCCUACGGGAGGCAGCAGUGAGGAAUAUUGGUCAAUGGGCGCAGGCCUGAACCAGCCAAGUAGCGUGAAGGAUGACUGCCCUAUGGGUUGUAAACUUCUUUUAUAAAGGAAUAAAGUCGGGUAUGUAUACCCGUUUGCAUGUACUUUAUGAAUAAGGAUCGGCUAACUCCGUGCCAGCAGCCGCGGUAAUACGGAGGAUCCGAGCGUUAUCCGGAUUUAUUGGGUUUAAAGGGAGCGUAGAUGGAUGUUUAAGUCAGUUGUGAAAGUUUGCGGCUCAACCGUAAAAUUGCAGUUGAUACUGGAUAUCUUGAGUGCAGUUGAGGCAGGCGGAAUUCGUGGUGUAGCGGUGAAAUGCUUAGAUAUCACGAAGAACUCCGAUUG